UCGGCUGGUUUUGACCGGCAAAUUUACGGGUUAAAUGAGUUCAAAUUAAAAUGAAUUUUGGGUAAAAAAAUGUUUUGUUCAAGACCUAAAAAAAACAGGUUAAGUUCAGAUCGGAUGAAUUAAAAUUGGGAGUUCUACUUUCACUCCUUUUUUUUCCCUACAAACUUAACAAUUAUACUUAUAAAGGAUUGUUCCCUAAAAAAAAAAAAUACUUACAAAGGAUUGUACAAAAAUGGGACAAAAAUGACUAAUGAGUGACUAACGGUUGAAGUUGGAGAACCACCACAGCAGUACAAUGCGGUGGAAAACUACUUUAAAGUUUCCCUCCAAGGCCGCCAAAAUCUCCCUCCUCCUCAUCACCGCCACUGCCACCGGCACCGCCACUGUCGACUCUUUCCCACUUUUCGACUCUUCUUCCCGUGCCAUCACCGCUUUCUCCGAUGAUUUUCGUGCUCCUUUUUUUGCUUUUCGACGCUCCUCUUACACCUUCUUUACGAUUGCUUCAACUAUAUUUGAUUACAAGUAUUCGAUUUAUGGGCUAGCAAAGGGUUCGGAUGAGUAUCGACAUACAAUUUCUGAGGUUCAUCUGCGCUCUGCUAAGAGAAUAUUAAAGUUGUGUGAAGAUAAUAAAGGGUUUUAUGUGAAAGCUGGUCAGUUUGCGUCAUCUCUAAGACAGCUCCCAAAGGAAUAUACUAUGACACUUUCUGUUUUACAGGAUAAGGCAGUUCCUUGUGAUUUCAAUUUAAUAAAAGAAGUGAUCUGUAGAAAUCUCAGUUCUGAGAUUACUGAUAUGUUUCUCUUUUUUGACGAGCAACCACUCGCUGCAGCUUCAAUUGCUCAAGUUCAUCGUGGUGUCCUGAAAAGCGGGGAGGAAGUUGCUGUGAAGGUGCAAUACCCUGGAUUAGAGCGGCUGAUGGAGUUGGACAUCACUAUCAUGUCUUUUGUCUCACAUGUUGCUGCUUGGAUAUUUCCAGAAUUCAGAUUUGGAUGGAUUCUUUCAAUGUUUAAAGAGGCCGUUUCUGCGGAACUUGAUUUCAUUCAGGAAGCAAGGAAUUCUGAGAGGACUGCAAAGAAUUUUAGAAACAACAAGAAAGUCAAGAUCCCGCGAAUUUUUUGGGAUUUGACAACCAGCCAGGUAUUGACCAUGCAGUUUUGUUCGGGGCAAAAGGUUGAUGACCUGGAAUUUCUGAAAAAAACAGGAAUGGAUCCAAGAAAGGUUGCGCAAGCUCUGGUUGAAGUUUUUGCUGAUAUGGUAUUUAUCCAUGGCUUUGUUCAUGGAGAUCCACAUCCUGGAAAUAUCUUAGUUUCUCCAAGUGGUCAGAAUGACUUUACUUUGGUUCUAUUAGACCAUGGAAUGUACAAGGAACUAGAUGAAGGAUUCACAAGGAACUAUUGUCGGUUAUGGAAGGCAUUGAUUCUUCGUGAUAUGGAUGAAUUACUGCAUACUGGUGAAUCACUCGGUAUUGGUAGUUAUGCUAUAUAUUUACCCAUUAUAUUCACUGGGAGAACAAUAAACAGUAAAGCAGGACUCGGAAGAGAGAUUUCCAAUGAAGAACGAAAUAUUGUCAAGCAGGAGCUCAAGGCUCUUACAAUGGAUGACAUUUCAUCAUUCAUGGAAUCCUUGCCAGCUGCCUUUUUGACAAUAUUGCGUACAGACGGCAUUCUUAGAUCUAUACUCAGCAAAUUAGGUACAACCCAAAGUGUUCGGAUUCUAACCUAUGCCAGAUCUGCUAUACAUGGCCUUUCUCCAAUCGAAGAAUAUGAGCAUGGUUCUACACUGGAUUUUUUCAUCACCAGAAUCAGGAUUAAAUAUAGUUAUCUUCAAAUUAAAUGCCUUCUUGGUGUGCUGGGGCUGCUUUCAUGGAUUGAAGAUAUUAAACAGAUAUUAACUAAGAGCUUGAAGAGAUUGCUGGCUACCGCCAGAAAUCUAUAUCUGCCUCAUGCAAACCACUGAUUUCAUGUUGUGUGCUUUUCGUCUGGAUAAUGGAGCUAUUCUUUUGGUUUUGUUAUAAGGUUUACUUUUUCAUGUUUACAGCAGGCAGCAGCAACUACAUACAGUGCAUAGCAAUGUGAGAAAUACAAAGCUGGUUCAAGCGAGCAAGCAACAUACUGAACACAGACCUGUUUGAUUUAGGUUGUUAGAGCUUGUUAUCCACCACCUGUUUUGAUAGGAUAUUUUGUUAUAUAUAUAUUCAUAUAUGUUACUGAUGGUCUGAUGUUAUAGAUAGGGUAGCAGGCAGCUGUGUUUUAUGUAUCUUUUGCCCAUUCUGACCACAGUAUUAAACUUUGUAUGAUUCAAGUAAAUAAGAAAACUAUCUUCUCCUAUAAAUGAAGAAAUUAUGCUCCAA